rnacentral:rRNA from 1 species
UACGGAGGGGGCUAGCGUUGUUCGGAAUUACUGGGCGUAAAGGGUGCGUAGGCGGGUUUCUAAGUCAGAGGUGAAAUCCUGGAGCUCAACUCCAGAACUGCCUUUGAUACUGGAAGUCUUGAGUAUGGGAGAGGUGAGUGGAACUGCGAGUGUAGAGGUGAAAUUCGUAGAUAUUCGCAAGAACACCAGUGGCGAAGGCGGCUCACUGGCCCAUUACUGACGCUGAGGCACGAAAGCGUGGGGAGCAAACAGG